AAACAUUUUUUUAUAUAAGGUUCUUGACUGGUACCCAAUUUUUAAAGUUAUAUAAACUGAAAAGCAAACCCGUGUUUUCCGGCUGAAUCAACGCCUUUGAACAUCUUCUUCUAUUGUUAUUUGUGUAAGUAAGUUAAGCUUUAAUUGUUUUCAUUUAACAUCUAAACAUUUCUUUUGGCGACGAUUCAACAUAUAACUAAUGUCUCAAAAAUUUUGAUUGUGAAUUAGUUAGCUACACGUGCAUGCACAUCCGCGAAGUUUACGAUACUUCUCUUGACCUUAUACAGAUCGUCAAUUAAUUAACGUGAUGUUUUCCUCAACAGUCAUUUAUUUUAUUUUUUUCUCAUUUGACGAAAAUUGUUUAUUUAUGAUGGGGUUAGAACAUCUUUUUCAAUUUUACUUUCAUUUUUUUCUCACUGAACAAAAUAAAAACUUUCAUUUUUGUUUUUUCAACUUUCAUAUUCGGCGAUUGUUUCAAUUAUUAUAACUAUGUACGUUGUUGUGGAAGUCAAUCGAAGUGUCAGGCUUAAUCGCCGGCCAUGGACCGGACCAAGUCCUAGUCCUAAAAGUUUCAAAAAGGUUCAUAACGUGUCAGGAGUUUGUCCCUCGCUGCCCAAACCAUAUGACUCGUCUGAAUCUAUCCUUCUUUCUUAACCGACACCACACGUGUGGUCUACUUCGGUACGUGUCCCUCUUGGAACACAAAGCCCUCUCUAGUGGUCGGCAGAUUCAUCUUCACACAAGAUUAAAGAAAAAAAAACACAUAGCAAGUUAAGUAAAAAAAGUAAUACUAAGACAUGCAUUCAUCGUACGUACGUGCACGCACCCAAAUCCACAUGUUUGGUCUCUUCCCGACUGAUCCCAUCAAUAGGUUAAGAAGGACUUUGUUGAUAAUUUUCCGGAGUUAUAGUAUUAGGUCCUUUUUUGUAUUUUUAAUUAUGCUGUUUUAGUUGAAAUUCCUACUAGUGCUCUUUUGUUUUAAAGUCAAAAUAGCCUAAUGUUUUGAGUCGAUAUCAUAGAACUAUUGUUUUCAGCAAAGAAGAAAUUAUUUUAAAUAAGUUAUAUAAAUUACAUAUACUA
rnacentral:lncRNA from 1 species